AUUGAACGCUGGCGGCAGGCCUAACACAUGCAAGUCGAACGAGUGGCGGACGGGUGAGUAAUGUAUGGGAAUCUGCCCGAUGGAGGGGGAUAACUACUGGAAACGGUAGCUAAUACCUCAUACUAUCGGAUGAGCCCAUAUGGGAUUAGCUAGUAGGUGGGGUAACGGCUCACCUAGGCGACGAUCUCUAGCUGGUCUGAGAGGAUGAUCAGCAACACGGGGAUGGAGACACGGCCCAGACUCCUACGUGAGGCAGCAUGGGGGAAUAUUGGACAAUGGGGGCAAGCCUGAUGCAGCCAGGCCGCGUGUAUGAAGAAGGCCGUGGGGUUGUAAAGUACUUUCAGCGGGGAGGCGUUACUAGCAGAAGAAGCAUCGGCUAACUCCGUGCCAGCAGCCGCGGUAAUAC
rnacentral:rRNA from 1 species